GGAAUCUUGAUGAUGCUGCAGC
rnacentral:miRNA from 1 species